GCCUUCUUAGCUCAGUGGGAGAGCGUUGGUCUCGCACUAAAAAAAGUUAUGAAGAAAAGAGAUAUAAUAAAGUGAACUCGAAGCGAACCAAAGGCCGAGAGUUCAAUCCUCUCAGGAGGCA
rnacentral:tRNA from 1 species